AUGAACGCUGGCGGCGUGCCUAAUACAUGCCAGUCGAGCGAACAGACGAGGAGCUUGCUCCUCUGACGUUAGCGGCGGACGGGUGAGUAACACGUGGAUAACCUACCUAUAAGACUGGGAUAACUUCGGGAAACCGGAGCUAAUACCGGAUAAUAUAUUGAACCGCAUGGUUCAAUAGUGAAAGACGGUUUUGCUGUCACUUAUAGAUGGAUCCGCGCCGCAUUAGCUAGUUGGUAAGGUAACGGCUUACCAAGGCGACGAUGCGUAGCCGACCUGAGAGGGUGAUCGGCCACACUGGAACUGAGACACGGUCCAGACUCCUACGGGAGGCAGCAGUAGGGAAUCUUCCGCAAUGGGCGAAAGCCUGACGGAGCUACGCCGCGUGAGUGAUGAAGGUCUUCGGAUCGUAAAACUCUGUUAUUAGGGAAGAACAAAUGUGUAAGUAACUAUGCACGUCUUGACGGUACCUAAUCAGAAAGCCACGGCUAACUACGUG
rnacentral:rRNA from 1 species